ACCUGCAAAACAAAAAUAUCCUGUGACGCCACAUUUUCAUAGCCAUUAGGUCUUAUUGUUUAGCCUUGCAAUGCCAUUGGACGGUAAAAUGUGUAAAAAGGUCUGACCAUCAAGCCAUGAAGUCAUUCGACUUGGGAACUUUUCUGGAUGCACAUCUCCCUCGUUUACUGAAGUGGAUAUCUCAACACUGAAUUCCAGAAUGUUACGAGCAAGGAAAUCUGUUUACACCGUGAAAGAUGUCAUUGAAGCUGUUCAAACCGGAGAGAGUGAUUUUGAAAUGGAAUCAGACACCAGUGAAUCAAGUGAUGAGGAGCUGGACAAACAGAACCAGGCACCCAUAGAUUGCCCAACUGCUGAUGAUGAGGAAGUUGAGGCAACUAAACCAAGCCAAACAACUUAUCGGACCACACCCCAGGACUGAUAUCGCUGGCUGAAAAAGGAUUUCACUAGUCCAUGUACCAAUUUCUCUGGUCCAGAUGUCACGAGUGGUGCCGUUAACCUCCAUACACCAUUAGAAUACUUCCAAAGGUUUGUGUCAGAAGACAUGAUCCAGGCUCUGACAGAAAACACAAAUGAGUACAGCUUACAAAAGAAUGGCAGAUGGGAGACCAUCUUUAGGCAGGGGGAGCCCUGUAUCACCAGUGACAUCACAGAGCCCUUUGACAUCCAUGACAGUGAUACCACAGAGACCUGUGUCUGCCCUGAGGAGGUUAUGUGUACCACCAGUGGAUGUGCGCAAGGAUAUGGUCGCACAUUUCCCUGUAAAAUCAAAGAGAGGACGCUGCAGACACUCUGAUAAAGGCUACACCAAUACCCUGUGCAGGAAGUGUAGUGUGCGUCUAUGCUUUUCAGAUGAAAGGAACUGCUUUUUGGAGUACCACUGUACAUAAAAACAAGUGGUUAUCACCAUUGCCUCCCACUAAUCUGGGUUCUGUCUGCUUGUCCUGGGUCUGCAACAGUUUUUAUUCUUAUUUUUUUGGUCAAUAAAUUAAGAUUCAUAAAA